UACGUAGGGCGCAAGCGUUGUCCGGAAUUAUUGGGCGUAAAGAGCUCGUAGGCGGCUUGUCACGUCGGGUGUGAAAGCCCGGGGCUUAACCCCGGGUCUGCAUUCGAUACGGGCAGGCUAGUGUGGUAGGGGAGAUCGGAAUUCCUGGUGUAGCGGUGAAAUGCGCAGAUAUCAGGAGGAACACCGGUGGCGAAGGCGGAUCUCUGGGCCAUUACUGACGCUGAGGAGCGAAAGCGUGGGGAGCGAACAGG
rnacentral:rRNA from 1 species